AGAGUUUGAUCAUGGCUCAGGAUGAACGCUAGCGGCGGGCCUAAUACAUGCAAGUCGAGGGGCAGCACGAGUAGCAAUACUUGGUGGCGACCGGCGCACGGGUGCGUAACGCGUAUGCAACCUACCCAUAACACGGGAAUAGCCCGAAGAAAUUCGGAUUAAUACUCGAUAGUAUCACUUGAUGGCAUCUGAAGGUGAUUAAAGAUUUAUCGGUUAUGGAUGGGCAUGCGUCUGAUUAGCUAGUUGGUGAGGUAACUGCUCACCAAGGCUACGAUCAGUAGGGGUUCUGAGAGGAUGAUCCCCCACACCGGUACUGAGACACGGACCGGACUCCUACGGGAGGCAGCAGUAAGGAAUAUUGGUCAAUGGACGCAAGUCUGAACCAGCCACGCCGCGUGCAGGAAGACGGCCCUAUGGGUUGUAAACUGCUUUUGUUUGGGAAGAAACCCCUUUUGCGAAGGGGACUGACGGUACCAGACGAAUAAGCACCGGCUAACUCCGUGCCAGCAGCCGCGGUAAUACGGAGGGUGCAAGCGUUAUCCGGAUUUAUUGGGUUUAAAGGGUGCGUAGGCGGCCUGUUAAGUCAGAGGUGAAAGUCGGUAGCUCAACUAUCGAAUUGCCUUUGAUACUGGCAGGCUCGAAUGAAGUUGAAGAGGGCGGAAUGUGACAUGUAGCGGUGAAAUGCUUAGAUAUGUCCCAGAACACCGAUUGCGAAGGCAGCUCUCUAAGCUUGUAUUGACGCUGAUGCACGAAAGCGUGGGGAUCAAACAGGAUUAGAUACCCUGGUAGUCCACGCCGUAAACGAUGAUCACUCGCUGUUGGCGAUACACAGUCAGCGGCCAAGCGAAAGCGAUAAGUGAUCCACCUGGGGAGUACGAUCGCAAGGUUGAAACUUAAAGGAAUUGACGG
rnacentral:rRNA from 1 species